GCCAAGCUAAAUGUAUUUCAAGAUUAUUGUUGCAAACAAAUGUUUAUUUAAACUUUAGCAAUUGAUUUGUAAUCAAUAGGUCCGCGGUUCGAAUCCGCGCGGGGGCACCA
rnacentral:tRNA from 1 species